GCCAUUUUCGAGUGAUGCCUGAUCUCAUCAAUCUAGCGGGAGAGACAGGAUAACCUGUCCGAGAGUAUAGCGCCACUAUGACUCCGCCGGAAAAAUUACUUUAAAAAUCGCCAAAAAUUACUUGGAGCAAAGGGCAGUCGGCGGAGCUUCGCCAAGGCUGGCGCAGUCGGUUUUGACCUGUAGCAGAGAACCAAUUCUGGAGAACAGCCUCACUUCUUUGAUUGAAUACUUACAUAAUGCAUUGGAACAUGACAUGAGAUUAAGUGUAUAAAGCCAAAUGUCCCAUUUAAAGUUUGACAUUUGCAAUAGCAUUCUAUUUAAAAGGUUUAAUAAUGAUAGAAUGAAGACCACAAUAAAAGAGACCUCUACUUAGCUCAGCAAUUCUUACCUUUCUUACCUAUUUGAUGAAGAUGUCUUUUGAAAGGUGUACUGCAAGGAACAAAAUGUUUGUAAAUUCUCCUUUUACCAAGGUAAAGAUCAAAUUUUAUAAAUUUACUUGUUUGUUUAUACAAGGAAAAAUAACUUCAUAUAUUGAAUAUAUUCAAAAGUUUAAGCAUUUAGUUGUAUUGCCCUGUUAAGUUGGCAUAGCAAAUAAAUGCUUUUCUUUUCCUCAUUUUAUUCUUUGUGUUUCCUAACCUAUAGCACUGUGCUGGGCACAGAAUGGACUUCAGUUAAGUUUUUGAUGUAGAAAUGUUUUAUUAUUCUACUUAAAAUCUCCUUAAAAAUAAUUAUGCAUAUUACAUCAAUGUUAUAAUGUUUAAACAUAGAUUUUUUUACAUGCAUUCUUUUUUUCCUGAAAGAAAAUAUUUUUUAUAUUCUUUAGGCGCGAAUGUGUGUUUAAAAAAAAUAAAACCUUGGAGUAAAG
rnacentral:lncRNA from 1 species